UGUUUUAUCGGUUAUUCCUACACUUUUACUACGACAUGCAGAGGUUUAGACAACGACUCUACAAACUCUGAGAAACAAUGAAAACAAUCCAACCAGAUAAGAUUCAAAUUUCAGUCACAACUUAAAGGAUGAAGAUGAUCUCCAGGAUCCUGCUGCUCCUCAUCCUCAGCUCAUGUCUCUGUGCAGCAACAUUUGUAGUGAAUGUGACACAGAGCAGCUAUCAGGCAGAGGAGAACCACAGCAUCACUCUGGAGUGGACCUUCACCACCAAGACUCAGGGAACCUGGAAGAAUCUGUUCAUCUACUGCAGCUUGUUGGCUCCUCAUAAAGAAUUGGUUCUCUAUCAGGUCCAUGAAGGUGUUAAGAUUCCAGAG